CCCGCUGUAAACGAUGUCGAUUUGGAGGUUGUGCCCUUGAGGCGUGGCUUCCGGAGCUAACGCGUUAAAUCGACCGCCUGGGGAGUACGGCCGCAAGGUUAAAACUCAAAUGAAUUGACGGGGGCCCGCACAAGCGGUGGAGCAUGUGGUUUAAUUCGAUGCAACGCGAAGAACCUUACCUACUCUUGACAUCCAGAGAACUUUCCAGAGAUGGAUUGGUGCCUUCGGGAACUCUGAGACAGGUGCUGCAUGGCUGUCGUCAGCUCGUGUUGUGAAAUGUUGGGUUAAGUCCCGCAACGAGCGCAACCCUUAUCCUUUGUUGCCAGCGGUUCGGCCGGGAACUCAAAGGAGACUGCCAGUGAUAAACUGGAGGAAGGUGGGGAUGACGUCAAGUCAUCAUGGCCCUUACGAGUAGGGCUACACACGUGCUACAAUGGCAUAUACAAAGAGAAGCGACCUCGCGAGAGCAAGCGGACCUCAUAAAGUAUGUCGUAGUCCGGAUUGGAGUCUGCAACUCGACUCCAUGAAGUCGGAAUCGCUAGUAAUCGUAGAUCAGAAUGCUACGGUGAAUACGUUCCCGGGCCUUGUACACACCGCCCGUCACACCAUGGGAGUGGGUUGCAAAAGAAGUAGGUAGCUUAACCUUCGGGAGGGCGCUUACCACUUUGUGAUUCAUGACUGGGGUGAAGUCGUAACAAGGUAACCGUAGGGGAACCUGC
rnacentral:rRNA from 1 species